ACCUUCCUUUCAAAAACAUGCAUUUAUGAAUAGGACUCUGUGGUGGCUGACAUGUUGUUGCUGAGUUAGUAUAGUUGUGAGAACUGAGCCUGAAAAAGGGGCUUUACAAGACAUUUUUGUGUGGCUUGUUAUAGCCAGCCCAUUGGCUCUCCUGCCAUUUCACUAAUGUACAUCAGAUUUCACAGUGCAAAAUCAAAACUCGGACUACUGCAGUUAGUUCAUUAAUCAGCACCAGGACAUCGAGAGAGAACAACUCCAAAGUCUACUAGAAUGUAUGGAAUGUAGCAGAGACACAGAUCCCUGAACCUUGAGGGAAGGACUGAGUGCUUCAAAAUUUCUCAUUCUCUGCACAUUGCCCAGUUUACUGGGCCUAGCCUAUGAAACAAAGCCACCCACACUCAAGGUAAGUUU